CUCUUCAAACAUUGAAUAGCCGCUCUUUUAUUCCUUGCUCGGGUGAAUUCCCUGGCCUUUUCAACUUCUGCAGCAGCCUUCUUAACAAGUACUUUCUCCUUUUUCUCUAGCAUUUCAAGCGUCUCAUUUAAUUUGUCUAACGUGGUUAGAGCAUUUGUUUCCUGCUUAGGUUUUCCAAAGAGCCGGUUAAACAUGGUUUACUCCAAUCCGCAAAUGAAACGCCGAUGCGAUCUUCUCUAUCACAAACCAACGAUAUCAGAUCAAAUAAAACCCUUUGAAAUUGGAGAUAAGAGAUCUUAUU
rnacentral:misc_RNA from 1 species